UGGGGAAUUUUGACAAUGGGCGAAAGCCUGAUCCAGCAAUGCCGCGUGUGUGAAGAAGGCCUUCGGGUUGUAAAGCACUUUUGUCCGGAAAGAAAUCCUUGGCUCUAAUACAGUCGGGGGAUGACGGUACCGGAAGAAUAAGCACCGGCUAACUACGUGCCAGCAGCCGCGGUAAUACGUAGGGUGCAAGCGUUAAUCGGAAUUACUGGGCGUAAAGCGUGCGCAGGCGGUUUGCUAAGACCGAUGUGAAAUCCCCGGGCUCAACCUGGGAACUGCAUUGGUGACUGGCAGGCUAGAGUAUGGGCAGAGGGGGGUAAAUUCCACGUGUAGCAGUGAAAUGCGUAGAGAUGUGGAGGAAUACCGAUGGCGAAGGCAGCCCCCUGGGCCAAUACUGACGCUCAUGCACGAAAGCGUGGGGAGCAAACAGGAUUAGAUACCCGUGGUAGUCCAGCGCCCUAAACGAUGUCAACUAGUUGUUGGGGAUUCAUUUCCUUAGUAACGUAGCUAACGCGUGAAGUUGACCGCCUGGGGAGUACGGUCGUCAAGAUUAAAACUCAAAGGAAUUGACGGGGUCAUAGCUGUUUCC
rnacentral:rRNA from 1 species